rnacentral:RNase_P_RNA from 2 species
GACGUUUCGCAUUUACCCGCUAACAAAAGGAGCUCGUCUCAUCAAUGCGGGUGGGAAAUUCGGUGGUUCUCCCCAUCCAUGAAAAGUUACUUUAGAGAGUAUCCUGGCGUGAAAAUGCUGGGCGGCGCCAUCAGAAAUUAAGCGUUUUCGCUAUGGGAGGCGCCGCGGAUGGUUGGUCCUUUGCUAUGAGGAGGGGCUUUUGAGUGCAAUAUGCGAACCUAGUAAUAGGCACCCGAUACCGAUCAUCGUU